GGCCGUAGCUUAGUAAUAGAGCAUCUGCUUUGUGUGCAGAAGGUCUCUGGUUCAAUCCCCAGGGAGGUCU